rnacentral:rRNA from 1 species
CCUACGGGCGGCAGCAGUGAGGAAUAUUGGUCAAUGGACGAGAGUCUGAACCAGCCAAGUAGCGUGAAGGAUGACUGCCCUAUGGGUUGUAAACUUCUUUUAUAUGGGAAUAAAAUGUUCCACGUGUGGGAUUUUGUAUGUACCAUAUGAAUAAGGAUCGGCUAACUCCGUGCCAGCAGCCGCGGUAAUACGGAGGAUCCGAGCGUUAUCCGGAUUUAUUGGGUUUAAAGGGAGCGUAGGUGGAUUGUUAAGUCAGUUGUGAAAGUUUGCGGCUCAACCGUAAAAUUGCAGUUGAAACUGGCAGUCUUGAGUACAGUGGAGGUGGGCGGAAUUCGUGGUGUAGCGGUGAAAUGCUUAGAUAUCACGAAGAACUCCGAUUGCGAAGGCAGUUCACUGGACUGCAACUGACACUGAGGCUCGAAAGUGUGGGUAUCAAACAGGAUUAGAUACCCUUGUAGUC